rnacentral:rRNA from 1 species
GAGUGAACGCUGGCGGUAGGCCUACCACAUGCAAGUCGAACGGCAGCACAGUAAGAGCUUGCUCUUACGGGUGGCGAGUGGCGGACGGGUGAGGAAUACAUCGGAAUCUACUUUUUCGUGGGGGAUAACGUAGGGAAACAUACGCUAAUACCGCAUACGACCUACGGGUGAAAGCAGGGGAUCUUCGGACCUUGCGCGAUUGAAUGAGCCGAUGUCGGAUUAGCUAGUUGGCGGGGUAAAGGCCCACCAAGGCGACGAUCCGUAGCUGGUCUGAGAGGAUGAUCAGCCACACUGGAACUGAGACACGGUCCAGACUCCUACGGGAGGCAGCAGUGGGGAAUAUUGGACAAUGGGCGCAAGCCUGAUCCAGCCAUACCGCGUGGGUGAAGAAGGCCUUCGGGUUGUAAAGCCCUUUUGUUGGGAAAGAAAAGCAGCAGGUUAAUACCCCGCUGUUCUGACGGUACCCAAGGAAUAAGCACCGGCUAACUUCGUG